rnacentral:lncRNA from 1 species
GCCACAUUUUUGAAUGGAGUUUGGUGUGGGAGCAGGAGUGAGGACGUGUGUUCAUGUACACUGAGCCGGUUGAAUCUUGUCAAAAGCUGUUAUUUUACUUUAUAUUGUGGGCUCAUCGCUGUACCUGGUGGUGCAGAACAACUUUGCACCUCUAACGGAGCUGGAGGUGGAGCUACAGAGACAUCCAGAGGAUCAACACGGGAACUGCAGGCUGAUCGACUCCACCCGUCUGCUACUCAAAGGAGGUGAAAACAAACUCACCAGUGAAGAAUGAUUUGCUCGUAAUGAUUUUUCGUGGCGGGAGGCGGGAGGAAACUCUUUCAGGUGAGAAGCAUGUUAAAAAGUAAUAGAAUAGUUUGUCAUGAAACAGUCAUGAACCAAGUCAUAGUAUAUAGUAUGGCAUUAAAAUGUCAUAAAAAAAUCA